rnacentral:misc_RNA from 1 species
AGCAGCCGCGGUAAUUCCAGCUCCAAUAGCGUAUAUUAAAGUUGUUGCAGUUAAAAGCUCGUAGUUGAAUUUCGGGAUCAGUUGAUCGGUCGUGCCUCGGUACGUACUGGUCAAAUUGAUUCCUACCUUCUGACGAACCACGAUGUCAUUAAUUUGGUGUCGCGGGAAAUCAGGACUGUUACUUUGAAAAAAUUAGAGUGUUUAAAGCAGGCUCGCGCUUGAAUACAUUAGCAUGGAAUAAUGAAAUAGGACGUUUGAUUCUAUUUUGUUGGUUUCUAGGAUCGACGUAAUGAUUAAUAGGGAUAGUUGGGGGCAUUAGUAUUCAAUUGUCAGAGGUGAAAUUCUUGGAUUUAUUGAAGACUAACUACUGCGAAAGCAUUUGCCAAGGAUGUUUUCAUUAAUCAAGAACGAAAGUUAGGGGAUCGAAGACGAUCAGAUACCGUCGUAGUCUUAACCAUAAACUAUGCCGACUAGGGAUCGGAUGAUGUUAAUUUUUUAAUGACUCAUUCGGCGCCUUACG